GUGGGAACUGUUACGAUAAAACUGAGUGUAACGCUGUCAUUGGUGAAUGCCCUGUAGCGACGGGGAAUCCCCGGUGUGACCUUGGAUAUACCGGAACUGAUUGUGUAAAAGUUUCAGACCUAACGGAUACCUCUAAAGAUUACACGGGAGUGAUUGCGGGAAGUGCUGUCGGAAUAUCUCUUGUUGUCUUGGUCACCGGACUCAUUAUUAUUGUUAUGGUCCGGAGGAUAACGACGCGUGUGCAGACAGGUGGUGCUAAAGGCUCUGGACCAAACAGUACUCCAGCAGAGGAGAGCUCCGUUCCCGCAGAAGUUAUGAAUCGAAGUGAGAUGUCUGAGCCGGCAAGCUUGUAUAAUACACGUGAUGAAAAUUCUGGUGAAGAUCCCCCCUAUGAAGCCAUUCGUGAAUACGUCAAUCUGUGAUAAAACAUACAGAUCUCGAAAACAAUGUCCAGGCUGUUAUAUUGUAUUUCUGGAUAAACCGAGAUUAUACUUGUGGUCUAAACCUCCCCGACAUCUGCUCACUAUGUGCUGUUAUAAUGUGAUUGUAUAUUAAAUGUGAUGAAAACUCAGAAUAAAACACUGACAGGUAAACUAACAAGAAGCCGUUUUUUCUCGGGUUACGUUUGACAUUUGCCAAAUAUCACAAUGGCAUCGAUGCUCUGGUUUAACUCUAUGUUAUUGUUAUAGUAUUUCAUAUCACUUGGAAUAUUUGUGGGGCAUCGGCCUAAU